rnacentral:rRNA from 1 species
AUUGAACGCUGGCGGCAGGCUUAACACAUUCAAGUCCAACGGUAACAGGAAUAAGCUUGCUUCUUUGCUGCCGAGCGGCGGACGGGUGAGCCAUGUUUGGGCAACUGUCUGAUGGUGGGGGAUAACUGCUGGAAACGGUAGCUAAUACCGCAUAACGUCGCAAGACCAAAGAGGGGGACCUUCGGUCCUCUCGCCCUCUGAUGUGCCCAGAUGGGAAUACCUAGUAGGUGGGGUAACGGCUCACCACGGCGGCGAUCCAUAGCUGGUCUGUGAGGAUGACCAGCCACACUGGAACUGAGACACGGUCCAGACUCCUACGGGAGGCAGCAGUGGGGAAUAUUGCACAAUGGGCGAAAGCCUGAUGCAGCCAUGCCGCGUGUAUGAAGAAGGCCUUCGGGUUGUAAAGUACUUUCAGCGGGGAGGAAGGGAGUAAAGUUAAUACCUUGGCUCAUUGACGUUACCCGCAGAAGAAGCACCGGCUAACUCCGUG